UUAAGCCCAUUUUUUUUAAACCCACUUCAUUUAAUCUCAAAGAACUUCCACAUGCUUCCAGCUGCCAUACCACAUCGUUUAGUUAAAUAUCAUGAAGAUUAUCUACCCAUCAAUUAACCGAUAGAUCGUGUUGCAUUGGUGACAUGAUGACAAUUCAAUUCAAACUUCACUACAUUUCUAAUUCAUGAACAAACCAAUUAAGCUAACUCUAGGUAGUUCUGAUAGGAUUUACAACAAGAACUUAAUAGU
rnacentral:lncRNA from 1 species